CACGUAGGUGGCACUGUAAGUCAGAGGUGAAAGCCCUCGGCUCAACCGAGGAAUUGCCUCUGAAACUGCUUUGCUUGAGUCCGGGAGGGGGGAGCGGAAUUCCCAGUGUAGCGGUGAAAUGCGUAGAUACUGGGAGGAACACCGGUGGCGAAGGCGGCUCCCUGGACCGGUACUGACACUGAGGUGCGAAAGCGUGGGUAGCAAACA
rnacentral:rRNA from 1 species